rnacentral:rRNA from 1 species
UUUGGCGGCCAUAGCGAGUUGGUCCCACGCCUUCCCAUCCCGAACAGGACCGUGAAACGACUCAGCGCCGAUGAUAGUG